UGCGGUAUCCUGACCGUGCUAAGGUAGCAUAAUCACUUGCCUUUUAAUUGGUGGCUAGUAUGAAUGGACAAACGAAGUUUUUACUGUUUCAUUAUUACUUUAUAUAACUUAGGCUUCAGGUGAAGACACCUGAAUCUCACGGAAAGACAAGAAGACCCCAUAGAGUUUUAGUCUACAAAUCUCCCCAUUAUUAUAAGACUUUGGUUGGGGCGACCCAGGAUUAAACAAAACAUCCUUUUUUACUCUGGUUUUAAACCUUAAAAUAGACCCUUAUUCUAGAUCUAAAAAAGUAACUACCUUGGGGAUAACAGGCUUAUCUUCCUAAAGAGUCCAAAUUGACAGGAAGGUUUGGCACCUCGAUGUUGGCUUAG
rnacentral:rRNA from 1 species